rnacentral:rRNA from 1 species
UACGUAGGUGGCAAGCGUUGUCCGGAUUUAUUGGGUUUAAAGGGUGCGUAGGCGGUGGGGCAAGUCAGGUGUGAAAUCCCGGAGCUCAACUCCGGAACUGCACUUGAUACUGCUUUACUAGAGUACUGGAGAGGAGACUGGAAUUUACGGUGUAGCAGUGAAAUGCGUAGAUAUCUGGAGGAAUACCGGUGGCGAAGGCGGCAUCCUGGACCGGCAUUGACGCUGAGGAGCGAAAGCCAGGGGAGCAAACGGG